rnacentral:rRNA from 1 species
AGCAGUCGCCACGGUAAUACGUAGGGUGCAAGCGUUAAUCGGAAUUACUGGGCGUAAAGCGUGCGUAGGUGGUGGUUUAAGUCCGUUGUGAAAGCCCUGGGCUCAACCUGGGAAUUGCAGUGGAUACUGGGUCACUAGAGUGUGGUAGAGGAUAGUGGAAUUUCCGGUGUAGCAGUGAAAUGCGUAGAGAUCGGAAGGAACAUCUGUGGCGAAGGCGACUAUCUGGGCCAACACUGACACUGAGGCACGAAAGCGUGGGGAGCAAACAGGAUUAGAUACCCCAGUAGUCCCUGUCUCUUAUAC